GUGACCUCAGCUCAGGCGAGAACAUCCACUGAGUUUAAGCAUAUAAUUAAGUGGAGGAAAAGAAACUUACAACGAUUCCCCUAGUAGUGGCAAGCAAACUAGGAAGAGCCCAGCAUGAAAAUUAGGUGGCAGCGUCACCUAAAUUGUAGUUUGUACAAGCGUCCUCAGGGCUGAACCUGGGCGAAAUCCCUUGAAAGGGGGGUCCUGAGAGGGUGAUAGCCCCAUCGGGCUGGGACCUUGCCGCAUCACGAGGCAUUGUUGGCGAGUCAGGUUGUUUGGGAAUGCAACCUUAAUUGGGUGGUAAAUUCCAUCCAAGGCUAAAUACGGGUGAGAGACUGAUAGUGAACAAGUACUGUGAGGGAAAGAUGAAAAGGACUUUGAAAAGAGAGUUAAAAAGUGCUUGAAAUUUCUGGGAGGGAAGCGGAUGGAGGUUGUUGAUGCGUCUCAGUUGGAUGUGAAAUGACUCAGGCUGGUUCACCGCUCGACUUGAGGUGUAAACCAACACAAGCUACUGCAUCGUCACAAGCGCAUGUGGAUUACUCCCUAUCGGUUUGUCGUUGCGAUGGCCGAGGAAUGAAGCAUGCACCCUUGUGGUGGGCCAUGUGCACCUGUGCACUCAUGGUGUUGGUUGGUGGGCUUUCCAUUUGACCUGUCUUGAAACAUGGACCAAGGAGUCUAACAUGUGUGCGAGUUGGUGGGUUUGAAAAACUGCGAGGUGCAAGGAAGCUAAUGGGCGAGAUCCCCUCCCUAGGGGGUGCAUCGUCGACUGACCUUGAGCUUAUGGGAAAGUUCGAGUGUGAGCACACCUCUUGGGACCCGAAAGAUGGUGAACUAUGCUUGAGCAGGGUGAAGCCAAAGGAAACUCUGGUGGAGGCUCGUAGCGAUACUGACAUGCAAAUCAUUCAUCUGACUUGGGUAUAGGGGUGAAAGAAUAAUUGAGCCAUCUAGUAGCUGGUUUCCUCUGAAUUUCCCUAAGGAUAACUGGAGCUCACAUGCGAGUUUUAUGGGUAAAGAAAAUGAUUAGAGGCAUUGGGGGCAUAACACUCUCAACCUGUUAUCAAACUUUAAAUAGGUAAGAGGGUGCGACUGCUCCAUUGAGCCGCGCCACGGAAUCGAGAGCUCCAAGUGGGCCAGUUUUUGUAAGCAGAACUGGCAAUGCGGGAUGAAUCAAAAUUCGAGUUACGGUGCCGAAUUAUGUGCUAACCUAUAUCCCACAAAGGGUUUUGGUUGAUUAAGACAGCAGGACCGUGGUCGUGGAAGUUGAAAUCAGCUAAGGAGUGUGUAACAGCUCACCUACCAAAUCAACUAGCCCCAAAAAUGGAUGGUGUUGAACUGCGCAACCUAUACUCGAUCGUCAGAGCAAUUGUAUGACUUCGAUGAGUAGGACGAAGCAGGGGUCAUUAACAAACCUCGGGCGUGAGCUUGGGUGGAUCAACCCCUAGUGCAGAUAUUGGUGGUAGUAACAAAUAUUCAAAUGAGAACUUUGCAGACUGAAGUGGGGAAAGAUUCCAUGUGAACAACACUUGGACAUGGGUUAGUCGAUCCUAAGAGAUGGGGAAGCCUUGUAUCAAGGGUGCACUCUGCACGAGCAUCGAAAGGGAAUUGGGUUAAUAUUCCUGAACAAGGACAUGACGGCAUGUGGCAAUGUUAGGAAAUACAGAGACGUCGUUGGGGGACCCGGGAAGAGUUAUCUUUUCUUUUUAACAACUUGCCCACCCUAGAAUCAGUUCACCCAGAGAUAGGGUCCAGACGCUGGAAGAACAUUGCACGUCUUGCGGUGUCCGGUGCACCCUCAAUGGCCCUUGAAAAUAUGGAGGACCGAGUAUUGUUCAUGCCCGGUCAUACUCAUAAUUGCAUCAAGUCUCCAAGGUGAACAACCUUUGGUCAAUAGAACAAUGUAGGUAAGGGAAGUCGGCAAAACAGAUCCGUAACUUCGGGAAAAGGAUUGGAUCUGAGGGCUAGGCCUAGGGGUUUGCGCCCUCAACUCAUGGGCUGUUGGUAGUCUACCCGAGCUGCUCUUGCAGUGAGGGUGGGCAGUUGCGUGUCGAUUGGGCUACGGGCAUACAGUGGCCCCUAUCGGGGGCUUUUCCCUAGGCAUCAAAUAGUUGGCUCAGAACUAGUAUGGACAAGGUGAACCUGACUGUGUAAUUAAAAUAAAGCAUUGCGAUGGUCCCUGUGGAUGCUAACACAAUGUUAUUUUUGUCUAGUUCUCUGAAUUUCAAAAUGAAGAAAUUAAACCAAGCGCUGGUAAAUGGUGGGAGUAACUAUGACUCUCUUAAGGUAGCCAAAUGCCUUGUCAUCUAAUUAGUGACACGCAUGAAUGGAUUAAUGAGAUUCCCGCUAUCCCUAUCUACUAUCUAGUGAAACCAUAGCCAAGGGAAUGAGCUUGGUAGAAGCAGCGGGGAAAGAAGACCCUGUUGAGCUUGACUGUAGUCCGACUUUGUGAAAUGACUUGAGAGGUGUAGAAUAAGUGAGAUCCGUUUUCGGCGCAAGUGAAAUACCACUACUUUUAACAUUAUUUUACUUAUUCUGUGGGGCAGAGAUAGGGCACUGCCGUUGUUUUUGGCCUUAAGGCACAUUUCGGUGGGUCAAUCCGGGCAGAAGACAUUGUUAGGUGGGGAGUUUGGCUGGGGUGGCACAUCUGUUAAAAGAUAACACAGGUGUCUUAAGAUGAUCUCAACGAGAACAAAAAUCUUGUGUAGAACAAAAGGGUAAAAGCUCAUUUGAUUUUGAUUUUUAGUAUGAAUACAAACCAUGAAAGCAUGGCCUAUCGAUCCUUUAUAUUUUCAGAAUUUGAAGCUAGAGGUGUCAGAAAAUUUACCACAGGGAUAACUGGCUUGUGGCAACCAAGUGUUCAUAGCGACAUUGCUUGUUGAUCCUUUGACAUUGGCUCUUCAUAUCAUUGUGAAGUAGAAUUCGCUAGGUGUUGGAUUGUUCACCCACCAAUAGGGAAGGUGAGCUGGGUUUAGACCAUCGUGAGACAGGUUAGUUUUACCCUACUGAUGAACCGCACCGCAAUUGUAAUUCAACUUAGUAUGAGAGGAACCGUUGAUUCACACAAUUGGUUAUCGUGCUUGGUUGAAAAGCCAAUGGCACGAAGCUACCAUGUGUCGGAUUAUGACUGAACGCCUCUAAGUCAGGAUCCACGCUAGAAUCAGUGCAUGUCACUCUUUGACUGUAUCUCGACCCACAGUAUGGGCAUUGUUUUGUCACCCCCAGGGGCCUGUGUCAUUUGCAAACCGCGACCGUGAAGCAUCUCGGUUGGGGAAGCUUUGAAGUUCAAUUCCAAAUGGUCGUUGAGAAGAAUCCUUUGCAAAUGACUUAAAUAC
rnacentral:rRNA from 1 species